CCUACGGGGGGCUGCAGUGAGGAAUAUUGGUCAAUGGGCGCAAGCCUGAACCAGCCAUGCCGCGUGCAGGAAGACAGCCUUAUGGGUUGUAAACUGCUUUUAUUAUAGAAAAAUUUGGUGUACGUGUACGCCAUUGAUAGUAUAUAUUGAAUAAGCAUCGGCUAACUCCGUGCCAGCAGCCGCGGUAAUACGGAGGAUGCAAGCGUUAUCCGGAUUUAUUGGGUUUAAAGGGUGCGCAGGCUGUUAAUUAAGUCAGUGGUGAAAUCCAGUAGCUUAACUACUGAUGUGCCAUUGAUACUGGUUAACUAGAAUACAGACGACGUGGGCGGAAUGCGACAUGUAGCGGUGAAAUGCUUAGAUAUGUCGCAGAACACCGAUAGCGAAGGCAGCUCACGAGGAUGUUAUUGACGCUCAUGCACGAAAGCGUGGGGAUCAAACAGGAUUAGAUACCCCAGUAGUC
rnacentral:rRNA from 1 species